GUGGGGAAUAUUGCGCAAUGGGCGGAAGCCUGACGCAGCAACGCCGCGUGCGGGAAGAAGGCUCUCGGGUCGUAAACCGCUUUCAGCAGGGACGAAGCUUCCGGGGUUAAUAGCCUACGGGGUGACGGUACCUGCAGAAGAAGCCCCGGCUAACUACGUGCCAGCAGCCGCGGUAAUACGUAGGGGGCAAGCGUUGUCCGGAUUUAUUGGGCGUAAAGAGCGUGUAGGCGGCUUGGUAGGUCUUGCGUCAAAACCUGAGGCUCAACCUCAGUUCGCGUGGGAAACCACCUAGCUAGAGUCCGGAAGAGGAGAACGGAAUUCCCAGUGUAGCGGUGAAAUGCGCAGAUAUUGGGAAGAACACCAGUGGCGAAGGCGGUUCUCUGGGACGGUACUGACGCUGAGACGCGAAAGCGUGGGGAGCGAACAGGAUUAGAUACCCUUGUAGUCC
rnacentral:rRNA from 1 species